UACGAGGGGGGCAAGCGUUGUUCGGAUUUAUUGGGCGUAAAGGGUGCGUAGGCGGUUUGUCGCGUCUGCCGUGAAAGCCCAGGGCUUAACCCUGGGUCUGCGGUGGGUACGGGCAGACUAGAGUGUGGUAGGGGAGACUGGAAUUCCUGGUGUAGCGGUGAAAUGCGCAGAUAUCAGGAGGAACACCGAUGGCGAAGGCAGGUCUCUGGGCCACUACUGACGCUGAGAAGCGAAAGCAUGGGGAGCAAACAGG
rnacentral:rRNA from 1 species